GGGGAUCUGAGAGGAUGACCCCCCACACUGGUACUGAGACACGGACCAGACUCCUACGGGAGGCAGCAGUAAGGAAUAUUGGUCAAUGGAGGCAACUCUGAACCAGCCAUGCCGCGUGCAGGAAGACAGCCCUCUGGGUCGUAAACUGCUUUUAUUCGGGAAUAAACCUCAUUACGUGUAGUGAGCUGAAUGUACCGAAGGAAUAAGGAUCUGCUAACUCCGUGCCAGCAGCCGCGGUAAUACGGAGGAUCCAAGCGUUAUCCGGAUUUAUUGGGUUUAAAGGGUGCGUAGGCGGCUUUUUAAGUCAGGGGUGAAAGACGGUAGCUCAACUAUCGCAGUGCCCUUGAUACUGAAGAGCUUGAAUGGACUAGAGGUAGGCGGAAUGUGACAAGUAGCGGUGAAAUGCAUAGAUAUGUCACAGAACACCGAUUGCGAAGGCAGCUUACUAUGGUUUAAUUGACGCUGAGGCACGAAAGCGUGGGGAUCAAACAGGAUUAGAUACCCUGGUAGUCCACGCCCUAAACGAUGAAUACUCGCUGUUAGCGAUACACAGUUAGCGGCUAAGCGAAAGCGUUAAGUAUUCCACCUGGGGAGUACGGUCGCAAGAUUGAAACUCAAAGGAAUUGACGGGGGCCCGCACAAGCGGAGGAGCAUGUGGUUUAAUUCGAUGAUACGCGAGGAACCUUACCCGGGCUUGAAAGUUAGUGAAUGGAUUAGAGAUAGUCCAGUCCGCAAGGACACGAAACUAGGUGCUGCAUGGCUGUCGUCAGCUCGUGCCGUGAGGUGUUGGGUUAAGUCCCGCAACGAGCGCAACCCCUAUGUUUAGUUGCCAGCACGUUAUGGUGGGGACUCUAAACAGACUGCCUGUGCAAACAGAGAGGAAGGAGGGGACGACGUCAAGUCAUCAUGGCCCUUACGUCCGGGGCUACACACGUGCUACAAUGGAUGGUACAGAGGGCAGCAAGCUGGCAACAGCAAGCCAAUCUCCAAAAGCCAUUCACAGUUCGGAUAGAGGUCUGCAACUCGACCUCUUGAAGUUGGAUUCGCUAGUAAUCGCAUAUCAGCAAUGAUGCGGUGAAUACGUUCCCGGGCCUUGUACACACCGCCCGUCAAGCCAUGGAAGUUGGGGGUACCUAAAGUAUGUAACCGCAAGGAGCGUCCUAGGGUAAAACCGAUAACUGGGGCUAAGUCGAAACAAGGUAGCCGUACCGGGAGGUGCGGCUG
rnacentral:rRNA from 1 species